rnacentral:rRNA from 1 species
GAUGAACGCUGGCGGCGUGCCUAAUACAUGCAAGUCGAGCGAACGGACGAGAAGCUUGCUUCUCUGAUGUUAGCGGCGGACGGGUGAGUAACACGUGGAUAACCUACCUAUAAGACUGGGAUAACUUCGGGAAACCGGAGCUAAUACCGGAUGAUAUUUUGAACCGCAUGGUUCAAAAGUGAAAGACGGUCUUGCUGUCACUUAUAGAUGGAUCCGCGCUGCAUUAGCUAGUUGGUAAGGUAACGGCUUACCAAGGCAACGAUGCAUAGCCGACCUGAGAGGGUGAUCGGCCAAACUGGAGCUGAAACACGGUCCAGACUCCUACGGGAGGCAGCAGUAGGGAAUCUUCCGCAAUGGGCGAAAGCCUGACGGAGCAACGCCGCGUGAGUGAUGAAGGUCUUCGGAUCGUAAAACUCUGUUAUUAGGGAAGAACAUAUGUGUAAGUAACUGUGCACAUCUUGACGGUACCUAAUCAGAAAGCCACGGCUAACUACGUG